AUGACGAAGGGGGCUAGCGUUGUUCGGAAUCACUGGGCUUAAAGCGCGUGUAGGUGGCGGCCUAAGUACCUUGUGAAAUCCUGCGGCUCAACCGCAGAACUGCUUGGUAUACUGGGUCGCUUGAGCCAUCCAGGGGCAACUGGAACAAGCGGUGGAGCGGUGAAAUGCGUAGAUAUCGCUUGGAACGCCAAAGGUGAAAACAGGUUGCUGGGGAUGCGCUGACACUGAGACGCGAAAGCCAGGGGAGCGAACGGG
rnacentral:rRNA from 1 species